CAUGCAAGUCGAGCGGUAGCACAGAGAGCUUGCUCUCGGGUGACGAGCGGCGGACGGGUGAGUAAUGUCUGGGAAACUGCCUGAUGGAGGGGGAUAACUACUGGAAACGGUAGCUAAUACCGCAUAACGUCGCAAGACCAAAGUGGGGGACCUUCGGGCCUCAUGCCAUCAGAUGUGCCCAGAUGGGAUUAGCUAGUAGGUGGGGUAACGGCUCACCUAGGCGACGAUCCCUAGCUGGUCUGAGAGGAUGACCAGCCACACUGGAACUGAGACACGGUCCAGACUCCUACGGGAGGCAGCAGUGGGGAAUAUUGCACAAUGGGCGCAAGCCUGAUGCAGCCAUGCCGCGUGUGUGAAGAAGGCCUUCGGGUUGUAAAGCACUUUCAGCGGGGAGGAAGGCGAUAAGGUUAAUAACCUUGUCGAUUGACGUUACCCGCAGAAGAAGCACCGGCUAACUCCGUGCCAGCAGCCGCGGUAAUACGGAGGGUGCAAGCGUUAAUCGGAAUUACUGGGCGUAAAGCGCACGCAGGCGGUCUGUCAAGUCGGAUGUGAAAUCCCCGGGCUCAACCUGGGAACUGCAUUCGAAACUGGCAGGCUAGAGUCUUGUAGAGGGGGGUAGAAUUCCAGGUGUAGCGGUGAAAUGCGUAGAGAUCUGGAGGAAUACCGGUGGCGAAGGCGGCCCCCUGGACAAAGACUGACGCUCAGGUGCGAAAGCGUGGGGAGCAAACAGGAUUAGAUACCCUGGUAGUCCACGCCGUAAACGAUGUCGAUUUGGAGGUUGUGCCCUUGAGGCGUGGCUUCCGGAGCUAACGCGUUAAAUCGACCGCCUGGGGAGUACGGCCGCAAGGUUAAAACUCAAAUGAAUUGACGGGGGCCCGCACAAGCGGUGGAGCAUGUGGUUUAAUUCGAUGCAACGCGAAGAACCUUACCUGGUCUUGACAUCCACAGAACUUACCAGAGAUGCUUUGGUGCCUUCGGGAACUGUGAAACAGGUGCUGCAUGGCUGUCGUCAGCUCGUGUUGUGAAAUGUUGGGUUAAGUCCCGCAACGAGCGCAACCCUUAUCCUUUGUUGCCAGCGGUU
rnacentral:rRNA from 1 species